CUCAAGCAAUCCUCCCGCCUCAGCUUCUACAGUAGCUAGGACUACAGGGAAAGAAAGCCUUCCACUCACCUUGCAUUAUUCAUCACAAGAGGAAUGUUCAGAAGCUUCAUGUCACUGAAAAUAAACAUCCAAAGGUCUCUUGCCCAGGGCGGAGUAUCUGGCCUAGUCAGUAGCUCAAGGUUGCCGUCUCUGUCGAUGAAUGAUAUCAUGCUCGCCAGCAGAGGGGUGACAGCACCUUGGACCCGCUUCCAGAGGGUGUGCCUGCAGCACAGGAGACAGACUGGCCACCACGGCUCAGAGGAACCACAAUGGCGGUCGGCCACCUUUUGACAUUGUGUUCCUUCUUGAGCAUGAACAAAACAACUAGUCUACUAAUUACCACACUACAGCGAUGGCAGGAACUUGACAUUUUCAUCAUUUUUAAGUCCUAGAAAACAGACUCAUAAAAAUAUCUAAGAUGAGAGGCAGAACUGGAAUGGAACUUAAUUCUACAUCUAAUCAACUGUCAUUAGGUGACUGGAAGGGUGAAGUAGUGUUUGAUUUUUAUUUUUAAAACAUACAUGUGAGACAGGGUCUCACUCUGUCACCCAGACUGCAGUGCAGUGGCACAAUCAUAGAUCGUUGUAACCUUGAAUACCGGGGCUUAAACGAUCCUCCCACCUCAGCCGUGCAGGUAGACAGGGCCACCACGUCCAGGGACACCACCUCCAGCUAAUUUUUAAUUUUAUUUUUUUGUUGGGAUGGGGUCUCACUAUGUUGCCCUGGCUGGCUGGUCUGAAACUCCUGGCCCAAGUAAUCCUCCCAUCUCAGCCUUCCAAAGUAUUGGGAUUAUAGGUGUGAGCCACCGCACCUAUCUGCUUUAUUUUUUGCAAAGCUGCAUAAUUUUUGUAUGUAACUAUUUUUCAGAACAAGUCAUCGAGGUUCUCUAAAUAAAUAAAAUUAUGACAAUCCAUUUGGAAAAAAUAAGUAUUUUACAAAUCUGAUGUGGAUAGACUAUAAUACAGAUGAAGAGACCAAAAUAAAUUUGUCCCAGAUCAAACUAAACAAGAAGGCACAUGUUUAUCUGGAAUUAAGUAUUUGUUCCUGUUGAUAUUUUUGUACACUAGAUCUGGGUGUCUGAUAGACAGACAGGUGGAUGGAUAGAUGGGCUGAUGGACUGAUGGGUGGAUGGACAGGCAGGCGGAUGGAUGGAUGAAUGCACAGACAGGCAGACAGAUAAUUGGUUAACUACAAGACAUUUUGUUGUUAUAUAUAUUUUGUUGUAUAUAUUUACAUGUAACAAUAAAAACUCUAUUUCAAAA